UCGUCUUACCCAUUACACAGGGCACAGUAAAAUUACGUCCAGCUAGUUACAAUUACUACAGUGCAGUGAAUUACAGUAAUUACAGUACAGUGCACUUAUUAUGUAUUAAUAAUAUUAAUAAAAUUAACAACAACGCAAAAGUUGUCCCCGCUGCACCGCCACAAUCGGCCGGUAACACGUACUCUCGUUGAUAAUAUAAUGCUGUGUAUAGACAAUACAAAAUGGCGUGUAGAUUCGAACAAAAAAACAACAAAAUGAAAAACCCGCU